AUGUGGUUGGCAGGGAUCCAAGCACUUGGACCAUCUUCUGCUAUCUCGUCCAUCCUGGCCACCUGGCUGGAGCAAUACCCGGAAGAUUUCGAUCAUCCCCCGCAGUACACCAGUCUGCACGUGCUGCUGGACUACGCACAGCUCCUCCUGCGUGACUCAGAGCUGGGGCACCGUGUGCAACUCCUCCUGGGACGAUUGCAGCACCUGGAGCCCACUGAGGCAGAACUAGAGGGUCCAGCAGAAGCUCCAAUUCCACAACAAGAUCUUGUGCCACCUCCAUCUCUGUUGCCAGAUGGAGCCCCACAGCCAGAACAGGCUCGCAUACCAGCUCUGGAAACCUCCAGGGAGCUCACACCAGACCCCACCGUGGCACUAGCUCCAGAGUGCCAGGGAGCUCCAGCAGCUCCCCCUGUAGAGCCAGUGAAUGCCGCAGGUUCAGAUCCAGACCCCACCGCAGUCUCUGAUCUACUGCAACCUUCUGGGCAGGAAACACCUGUUGCCAAGUCCCAAGACCUUGAGCUCUUUGUAGCUCCACAGCUGGCACCUGUCCCUGGGCCAGUGCUCACAGCCCCAUCCCUUACUACACAAUAUGUAGUAAUGUUCAUCUUUCUCCUUUACCUCCGCAUAAGAAAUUACUAUUCUGUAUACUAUAAAAUUCACUUUUAAUAAAAUAUACUAUUUUAACUUUUUAAGGUAUUCCAUGGCAACCACUUUAACUAUUGCUGUGUGUCCAUCACCACUGUGUCACUCUGGAACCUUUCAUCCAUCUGUACUCCCCAAGUCAUUGCCCCCAACCAUCCAGCGCUAAUCCCUGGCAAUCUCUUCACUCUCUGUCUUCAAGCCUGUACCUACAAUGGAUAUCACAUAUGCAUGCAUUAACACAGCAACUGGCUUCUUGUUUCUUGACACUUAGCAUGAAAUGUGCUUCUUACAUCUUAUUUUCUUUAUCAAGAAAUUUUUUUAGUUAUUUGAAAGGCAGAGAUCAGAGAGAGAGAGAUGGAUGGAGAGAGAGACGUGGAGGGUGGGAGAGAGAAAGAGGACCUCCAUCCUCUCACUACCAAAAUGGCCACAAUGGCCAGGGCUGGGACAGGCCAAGCCAGGAGCCAGGAGUUAUUCCAGGUCUCCCACAUGGGACCAGGGGCCCAGACACUUGGGCCAUCCUCCACUGCUUUCCUUGGAGUAUUAGCAUGAAGCUGGAUCAGAAAUGGAGCAGCCAGGACUCACAUCAGAGCCCAAAUGGAAUGCUGCCGGUUAAGGCAGCAGCUUAACCUGUAGUGUGACAGUGGCCAAAUUUCUUUGUUUUAACCAAAAUUAUUUAAAAAUAAAACCCCAGAGAUAUCCA
rnacentral:lncRNA from 1 species